GAGGAGGUGGAAAGAAUGUAAGAGCCAGACAGAAUAAGGACAUCAGGAAAACAACACCUUCUAAAUCAACUGGGCAAAGCUCAUAUAUGCUCACAGGAACUGAAACAGAAUGCAGUAAAAAUCACAGCCAGAACUGAGAAAGAGAUUCUCUGAAUGUGCUUAAACUCUAUAUGUUGAUGCUCCAAGCUUCCAUGUGUUUUAAAAGGAGACUGCGUUAUAAGGGAGGUGUGUCCAAAUGAGGAGCAGAAGGAGGGAGAACAUGAGCAAGGAAGUCAGGACCACGAGGGGUGUACCCACCCACUGUGACAGUGGAAUUGAUCUAUUGGGAGCCCACUAAGGCCAGCUGGACUGGGACUGAAUAAGCAUGGGAUGAAACCGGAC